CUGAUGCAGCCAUGCCGCGUGUGUGAAGAAGGCCUUCGGGUUGUAAAGCACUUUCAGUCGUGAGGAAGGUAGUGUAGUUAAUAGCUGCAUUAUUUGACGUUAGCGACAGAAGAAGCACCGGCUAACUCCGUGCCAGCAGCCGCGGUAAUACGGAGGGUGCGAGCGUUAAUCGGAAUUACUGGGCGUAAAGCGCAUGCAGGUGGUUUGUUAAGUCAGAUGUGAAAGCCCGGGGCUCAACCUCGGAAUAGCAUUUGAAACUGGCAGACUAGAGUACUGUAGAGGGGGGUAGAAUUUCAGGUGUAGCGGUGAAAUGCGUAGAGAUCUGAAGGAAUACCGGUGGCGAAGGCGGCCCCCUGGACAGAUACUGACACUCAGAUGCGAAAGCGUGGGGAGCAAACAGGAUUAGAUACCCUGGUAGUCCACGCCGUAAACGAUGUCUACUUGGAGGUUGUGGCCUUGAGCCGUGGCUUUCGGAGCUAACGCGUUAAGUAGACCGCCUGGGGAGUACGGUCGCAAGAUUAAAACUCAAAUGAAUUGACGGGGGCCCGCACAAGCGGUGGAGCAUGUGGUUUAAUUCGAUGCAACGCGAAGAACCUUACCUACUCUUGACAUCCAGAGAACUUUCCAGAGAUGGAUUGGUGCCUUCGGGAACUCUGAGACAGGUGCUGCAUGGCUGUCGUCAGCUCGUGUUGUGAAAUGUUGGGUUAAGUCCCGCAACGAGCGCAACCCUUAUCCUUGUUUGCCAGCGAGUAAUGUCGGGAACUCCAGGGAGACUGCCGGUGAUAAACCGGAGGAAGGUGGGGGACGACGUCAAGUCAUCAUGGCCCUUACGAGUAGGGCUACACACGUGCUACAAUGGCGCAUACAGAGGGC
rnacentral:rRNA from 1 species